GAUGAACGCUGGCGGCGUGCCUAAUACAUGCAAGUCGAGCGAACAGACGAGGAGCUUGCUCCUCUGACGUUAGCGGCGGACAGGUGAGUAACACGUGGAUAACCUACCUAUAAGACUGGGAUAACUUCGGGAAACCGGAGCUAAUACCGGAUAAUAUAUUGAACCGCAUGGUUCAAUAGUGAAAGACGGUUUUGCUGUCACUUAUAGAUGGAUCCGCGCCGCAUUAGCUAGUUGGUAAGGUAACGGCUUACCAAGGCAACGAUGCGUAGCCGACCUGAGUGGGUGAUCGGCCACACUGGAACUGAGACACGGUCCAGACUCCUACGGGAGGCAGCAGUAGGGAAUCUUCCGCAAUGGGCGAAAGCCUGACGGAGCAACGCCGCGUGAGUGAUGAAGGUCUUCGGAUCGUAAAACUCUGUUAUUAGGGAAGAACAAAUGUGUAAGUAACUAUGCACGUCUUGACGGUACCUAAUCAGAAAGCCACGGCUAACUACGUG
rnacentral:rRNA from 1 species